rnacentral:rRNA from 1 species
GACGAACGCUGGCGGCGUGCUUAACACAUGCAAGUCGAACGAAGUGGCGAACGGGUGAGUAAUACGUGGGUAACCUGCCCUCCUUUUUGGGAUAAGCCGUGGAAAAGGGGUCUAAUACCGAAUAAAGGGGGAUGGGCUCGCGGCCUAUCAGCGUGUUGGUGGGGGGACGGCCUAACAAGGCGGUGACGGGUAGCCGGCGUGAGGGGGUGACCGGCCACAUGGAGACUGAGAUACGGCCCAGACUCCUACGGGAGGCAGCAGUGGGGGCUAUUGCACAAUGGGCGAAAUACUGAUGCCGCGACGCCGCGUGGGUGAUGAAGGCUUUCGGGUUGUAAACCUCUUUCGCUAUCGAAGGGGUAGGUGGAGAAGAAGCGCCGGCUAACUACGUGCCAGCAGCCGCGGUAAUAC